GCAUUUCCACGGUAAUAGGGUACUUCUGUGUGUGAAAGAAUAAAGCGCUUACAGAAAAAUUAAAUAAAUAUCCUGUGGCUUUCUGUGUUUUUAUUUUCAUUGUUGAUGGUAUAAAGAAAUAAAAAAGACAAUUCCAUGCACUAAUAAUGUCAUUUGGUUGUGUUGUCCUCUUUUCUUUAAUGAUUAUUAUUAAAAAUUCCAAAGUACAAUCAGUAAAUGUUGAGUGGUGUGAUUUUGAGGGUGAUGCAAAUAAAAAUUCUAAAAAGAAAUUGAUGUUUCAUGUUUUGAAAAGAGAUUUUGAUGCGGGUGGAUUACGGCAUUGAUCAUAGUUACGGCGAUUGAGCUUUAAAGAGAGAGAGUGAGAGAGUUGAAAAUUACAUUGGCUGAAUGAGAGAUUCUGUCCACCUGUGUUACGUACGUUCAGAGUGAAUUUUCCCACAAUUAUUAGUUGUGUCACCCAACAGUUUUAUGUGCUUUGCAACUCUUUUGAUGAAGGUUGAAAUGUAGACCAAGAAAAAAAUUGUCAAAAUAAACGCAAAUAGAGAUAAAAUCUAUUCAAAAUUUGGAGUGCAAUAUUCGGUCCAACUCACGAACGUACGUAACAACUAAAAAAACGGACCGUGGCGUCCGCGAAUAUGACGCAUGGAUAAUCCACGUAUCAGUCAAGUGAACCAAGGCACUGCAACGUUUGAUUGUACUUGCAAUCCAUGCGCUGACUUCUACAAUCGCGGGGCCGUGUAGCUCUAUAUAACUUCUGUCCAGUUUGUGCGUACGUUCACGGUUGCUGGUAGUUAGAACGACACGUACGCACGAUGGACAGAAAUGCUAUUCGGUCUUAUUUACGUACGUUUUUUCGCGGGGUUUCGUGAGCAGCAGACGACAUCCGAUCGUAAUCAUUGGAGUAUCAACUCAACAUUAGAUUAGAUCUAGGCUUUGAAAAUCGUGGAAUGGUGAAAGAUGUUGUGGGAGAAGAUCUUGUCAUCAAGUACAUGGCCAAGUCGGAGUCUCAUCCGGGGCUAUUUAUAUGGCCAGCACGUGAGGAUGUGUCUCGGGAAUGUAGAAAACAGAUAGUGAAGAAAAUGCCUAACCCUGUCCUUCGGGAAGACAUCAGCAGCACUAGAUUACAAUUUUUCACCUUUGCAGAACUCUCCCCAGAAUCAUGACUUGCUCCAUACAAUUUAUGAAUGUCUUAUUACUCAUAGAUUGGUUAAUAAUGAAUCGAGUCAUUCCAACUUCUUCAGAGAACUUGUGUAAAGUCCAGCACACCCGAUAUCGUCCCAAACCAUCGGUUUUAAAAUCCUUACAAUAUUCUCUGACUCUCGUGUAAGAGGAAAACCUAGAACUGCGUGUAUUGAUGUUAAAAAGGAGACAUGAUUAAAUGGCUGGAUCGUGCUAAUUUAUUGUUCUCACGUUGUACUUCAGUAAGGUUUUAAUCACCUCAAUAGACUUGUGUGUUAUGAAAACAAAUAAAAUUCAUGGAAAAUUGGCACAAAGACACAAUUAUUUACUGAAAAUAUUUAAUGAAUGCUCAAUUGAAUUGAUGCAUUAUAAUAUGCAAAAUAACCCAUUGAGUAUGCAGUGUCAAAUCUUUUUUGAAUUUCAGAUCUGAAUUACAUCAAAA